rnacentral:misc_RNA from 1 species
UUUCCCGACUGUCGUCCUAUCGGGACCAAUGUACAGGUAACAACAAUAAGGACUCAUGUAUAGAGGGUUUAUUUUAAUCUGUACAUGUAGAAGUUGAGCUCUUUCAUAACCCGACAUAUAUAAAAAGUAUUGUGCAAUUUACAAGUGACUGAACUAUUAAUAAAUUACCAUUAUUAAAUGGUCAAGCAGAGAAAUUCACUGUCAACUGUAAAUAUUUAUUAUUCAGCAAUGAAUUUAAACAUGUUUUUCAUACAUAUCUGAGUGUAUACUGAUGGUGUCACAAAGGGGUCAAAUGUUUAGCAUUAAUUAUGUAAACAAAGCUAUUUUGAUUAGUUAUUUUAAUUUGUUUAUGUAUUAAUUAUCUUGAGUUCACUUGCAAUUUUUUGUAUUUUGUUAAGUUCAUUGUCAGUUCUAUGUACCGGUAUUCACUUGUUUGUACAUUGUUUGAGUUCAUUGUCGGGUUUGUCCUUUUUUAGUGAAAAAACGGACACCUGUAAAUUAAUGUACAUGGGUUUGUAUAUCUGUUAGUCUCCAGAUCAUAUGUUUUAAUAAACACAUAUAACCAUUG